rnacentral:rRNA from 1 species
UACGUAGGGCGCAAGCGUUGUCCGGAAUUAUUGGGCGUAAAGAGCUCGUAGGCGGCUUGUCACGUCGGAUGUGAAAGCCCGAGGCUUAACCUCGGGUCUGCAUUCGAUACGGGCAGACUAGAGGUAGGUAGGGGAGAAUGGAAUUCCCGGUGUAGCGGUGAAAUGCGCAGAUAUCGGGAGGAACACCGGUGGCGAAGGCGGCUCGCUGGGACGUUACUGACACUGAGGCGCGAAAGCGUGGGGAGCGAACAGG